GCUUCCUGGAUAGCUCAGUUGGUUAGAGUGUGGUGCUGAUAAUGCCAAGGUUGCAGGUUCGAUCCCAGUAGGGGGACA